UACAUAUUUCCUCUGUCCAACAAAAGAUAUCUCAAGUUUGUCAAAAUUUGGAUGUAUCUAGACAUGACUUAGUGUAUAGAUGCAUUCAAAUUUGGUCAAAGUUGAGACAUCCUUUGUUGGACGGAGGGAGUAGGAG
rfam:Brachypodium distachyon strain Bd21 chromosome 4, whole genome shotgun sequence.